CUAAAAACUUAGCUUAUCUAAUUCUUAUGUACUCCCCUCCCCCACAAAUAAACUCAAUAAAACAUUUUUCACAUUAAGUAAAGGCGAUUAAAAAAUGUCUAAAAGCUAUAGAAACUAGUACCGCAAGGGAAAAGUGAAAUAAAAAUGAAAAACUUCAAGCACAAAAAAGCAGAGUUACAUUCUGGUACCUUUUGCAUCAUGGUCUAACUUGUCUAACCAAGCAAAAUGAAUUUUAAGUUUGGCCCCCCGAAACUAGAUGAGCUACUUAAAAACAGCCUUUAGGGCCAACCCGUCCAUGUUGCAAAAUGGUGGGAAGAUUUUUAAGUAGAGGUGAUAGACCUACCGAAUCUAGAGAUAGCUGGUUAUUCAGGAAAAGGAUUUUAGUCCUACCUUAGGUUUACUAUAUAGUUUACAAUACUACCACAACCUUAAGAGCUAUUCAAAUAAGGUACAGCCUAUUUGAAACAGGAUACAACCUCUACU
rnacentral:rRNA from 1 species